rnacentral:rRNA from 1 species
CACAUGCAAGUCGAGCGGUAAGGCCCUUCGGGGUACACGAGCGGCGAACGGGUGAGUAACACGUGGGUGAUCUGCCCUGCACUUCGGGAUAAGCCUGGGAAACUGGGUCUAAUACCGGAUAUGACCUUCGGCUGCAUGGCUGAGGGUGAAAAGGUUUACUGGUGCAGGAUGGGCCCGCGGCCUAUCAGCUUGUUGGUGGGGUAAUGGCCUACCAAGGCGACGACGGGUAGCCGACCUGAGAGGGUGACCGGCCACACUGGGACUGAGACACGGCCCAGACUCCUACGGGAGGCAGCAGUGGGGAAUAUUGCACAAUGGGCGAAAGCCUGAUGCAGCGACGCCGCGUGAGGGAUGACGGCCUUCGGGUUGUAAACCUCUUUCAGCAGGGACGAAGCGAAAGUGACGGUACCUGCAGAAGAAGCACCGGCUAACUACGUGCCAGCAGCCGCGGUAAUACGUAGGGUGCAAGCGUUGUCCGGAAUUACUGGGCGUAAAGAGUUCGUAGGCGGUUUGUCGCGUCGUUUGUGAAAACUCACAGCUCAACUGUGAGCCUGCAGGCGAUACGGGCAGACUUGAGUACUGCAGGGGAGACUGGAAUUCCUGGUGUAGCGGUGAAAUGCGCAGAUAUCAGGAGGAACACCGGUGGCGAAGGCGGGUCUCUGGGCAGUAACUGACGCUGAGGAACGAAAGCGUGGGUAGCAAACAGGAUUAGAUA